CCGCACUGCCGGUGGAACCACGGGGAAAGCAGCCCGGCCCAUCCCCCACGCUGGCGGCUUGUUUUCCUUCCACAGGCGGAAGGAAGGGAGGGAGAGAGCACUCGCACCCGGGACUGACCUUUGCUCUGUAAACUGUUAAAGCCAGAGCUUGGUAGGCUGGGGCCAGGUGUUAGAGACCCACAGGAUUAAAGAAUGUAAGCUUCAGGAAAAGAAACCUUGUUGUCUAGUGGAUAGUCAGCUCCUAGACCAGGACCGAAGCAUAAGAGACCAAGAAUAAUUGGCUUUUCUGCUUCUUGCUUCCUCUGCCUCCAGUGACAUUCUACUAGAUAUUUUGAUGGCUACCUUGUCAUCAGCUUCGAGGAUUUACAUAAAAUUCGCCUUUUUG